rnacentral:rRNA from 1 species
CUCCCGGAAACGGGUGGUAAUGCCGGAUGUUCCAGUUGAUCGCAUGGUCUUCUGGGAAAGCUUUCGCGGUAUGGGAUGGGGUCGCGUCCUAUCAGCUUGACGGCGGGGUAACGGCCCACCGUGGCUUCGACGGGUAGCCGGCCUGAGAGGGCGACCGGCCACAUUGGGACUGAGAUACGGCCCAGACUCCUACGGGAGGCAGCAGUGGGGAAUAUUGCACAAUGGGCGCAAGCCUGAUGCAGCGACGCCGCGUGAGGGAUGGAGGCCUUCGGGUUGUAAACCUCUUUUAUCGGGGAGCAAGCGUGAGUGAGUUUACCCGUUGAAUAAGCACCGGCUAACUACGUGCCAGCAGCCGCGGUAAUACGUAGGGUGCAAGCGUUAUCCGGAAUUAUUGGGCGUAAAGGGCUCGUAGGCGGUUCGUCGCGUCCGGUGUGAAAGUCCAUCGCUUAACGGUGGAUCCGCGCCGGGUACGGGCGGGCUUGAGUGCGGUAGGGGAGACUGGAAUUCCCGGUGUAACGGUGGAAUGUGUAGAUAUCGGGAAGAACACC